GCUCAAGGCAGGAUAGCUCAGCUGGUAGAACAUGAGACUCUUUAACCUCAGGGGUGUGGGUUCGAGCCCCAUGUUGGGCA